rnacentral:rRNA from 1 species
UCUUACGGCCAUAUCACGUUGAAAACACCGGUUCUCGUCUGAUCACCGAAGUUAAGCAACGUCGAGCCUAGUUAGUACUUAGAUGGGUGACCGCUUGGGAAACCUAGGUGAUGUAGGCA